CUGGAGGCCCCGGCCCCCCGGCGUUCCCUCUCCGCGCACCUCCCGGCCCGCGCUAGGUAGCAGGCAAGAGUGUGGUUAUCGUUGGACCAGGAUUCAGGAUCUGACUGAGUAGCUGACUCUUAAUCCAGUUUGUGUUGAUCACCAGGAGGAUCUGGACCUCAGUAUUACCACAUCUAGAGCUAUAAUCACAUCCCUGUUAAGCCUUCCUGAGAUCACACCAAAUGUCCUUGAUGGGAAUUGUAAACAACCCUUACUUCUGGUUUCUAAUGAUAUUCCAGGAAAGGAGCCUAACUAGAGUCAGUGAUAUGCCAACUCCACCUUUGCCUUCCACCAUGUUUGGAAGCUCCCUGAGGCCUCACCAGGAGCAGAUGCUCGUCCCAUGCUUCCUAUAAGCCUGCAGAACUGGAAAAGAAAGCUGGAUAAAGUAUUUAUAGAAGAUAGAGGACCUGUGGUGGCUCAUGCCUGUAAUCCAAGGUGGAAGGAUUGCUUGAGGCCAGAAGUUCAAGACCAGUCCAAGCAACAUAGCAAGGCCCCAUCUCUACAAAAAAUGAAAAUAAAAUUAGCCGAGCGUGAUGGCUCAUGCCUGUAGUUCUAGCUUCUAGAGAGGCUGAGGCAGGAGGAUUGCUUGAGUCCAGGAGUUCAAGAUUACAGUGAGCUAUGGUCACACCACUGCACUCCAGCCUGGGUGAUGGAGUGAGACUGUCUCAAUAAAAAGACAAAAAGGCUGGCCAGGGGCAGUGGUUCAUGCCUGUAAACCCAGCACUUUGGGAGGCAAAGGCAGGAGGAUUGCUUAAGCCCAGGAAUUUGAGAUCAGCCUGGACAACAUGGUUGUAUAGAAGCUUUCCCAUGCAAGGAGGCUGAUGCUGUUAUUACAGUAGCUAAAAGGUUAGUAGGAAAUGUGUUUUCCCCCAUGGGGCAUUCCUGGAGAAAUCUCUAGCAAUAAAGGUACUUGUUUGACUGGACAAGUUGUAAAACAGUUUAAUAAGGUUUUUUUUAGGUGUCAUAGCAUUAGGCAAAGCUAACUGAAUUGACUGGAUUGUCAUAGUCAAACAUAUUGCAGAUCCGCUUCCAAUAGAAGACAAUGAAAUAGUCACUGGAAAGCCUGUGCUCCUAAUUUUAGAACCUCAUGUAUCUUCUGCUCCUAAACUCUGAUAGGACUAAAUGCUGUGAGGCCUCAAUGCAUUAUGUUAAUGUGUAUUUUCACCAGGUCAAGGAAGCUUUUCCUGAUCCACUAACUAAGGACAAUCAAACCCUUCAUGAUCUAGAAUCUGGAGACUGUGUCUUCUGGGAAUAGUAUCAGAGAAAGACUGCCCUUACUGCCCACAUGUAGCAAAACUUUGAGACGUUGAAUUAUGGGUCCAUAAUCUCACAACUCAGAGGGGCACCUCUAGACUCUUGGAACUGUAUAUCUAUUGGAGACUUUAAGGUAAAGCUGAACAGAGAGACGUUUUUCUCCAGAAGCAGACAGCACCAUAGUCAUGGACAGCUUUCCCAAGAUCACAGAUCAAGACUUCUCUGCCGUCAUGAGACUCAUAACCUCUUAAUUUUUUCUUGCUUAUGCUUCUGUGAACAAUAGAAUUGGAAAAGGGGUGGUCCCGCGUGCACCCAUAGGGUAUACUUUUAUUUGUGGAGGAUUUUGCUGCCAACCUUAUACAUGGGCAAACUUAUGCCUUCAUGGAUGGAAGAUAAAGGGCUAAUAUGGGUUAGAAAUUUUAAUGGUACCUUUGUUUCUCCAUAAUCAUUCAGAAACAGAACACUGGUCCACUCUUGUUAACCUACAUCAUAGGUUGAAGAGAACAUUGCCAGGAGGCCUUCAUCCUUCCAGAUGGGCACCAUUUGUUGGGUCUUUUUCCGUGGUAUGAAGAAAAUGAAGCAAUGAUUAGAAAUUGGUCCCUCGGCCGGGCACAAUGGCUCAUGCCUGUAAUCCCAUCACUUUGGCAGGCCGAGGCGGGUGGAUCACCUGAGGUCAGGAGUUUGAGACCAGCCUGACCAAUGUGGUGAAACGCCAUCUCUACUAAAAAUACAAAAAUUAGCUGGGUGUGAUGGUGCACACCUGUAAUCCAGCUACUCGGGAGGCUGAGACAGGAGAAUUGCUUGAACCUGGGAGGCAGAGGUUGCAGUGAGCCAAGAUCACCCCACUGCAUUCCAGGUUGGGCAACAGAGCAAGACUCUGUCUCAAAAAAAAAAGAAGAAAGAAAGAAAUUGAUCCCUCAUAAUAGGCUGUAUAGCAGAUUCUACUGCAAAGGCUAUGGUUGCACAACAGACUUCUUUGAAUUUGCUUGCUAAACUUUUACUGGAUAAUACUGGGAUUACAGGUGUGAGCCACUGUGCCCAGCCUCUCCUGUUUAACUGUAUUCAUUCUAAUGUUUACUUACUUCUUUAAUUUGUAAAAUUGGGUCACUUAGAGUUUUUUUAGCCUAUCUUGCCAUUUAGCCACUGUUACUGAUAAUUUGGAUGGAAAAGAAAAAUAAAUUAUAUCACCUCUCAUCUUCAGUGUAUAUAUGUGUUAACUUAGUAAAUAUAGUAUUCUUUCUCGUUCCUAAUGAAAAUUUAGUUUACGUACUGAAACACUGCAAACUUUUAUAAAUAUUGUGAUGUAUUUGACCAAUACAAAGGAUCUUUUUAGAAACAGCAAACAGUUCUCAGAUUAUAGGAAUUACUCAUUUAAUGAUAGUUUCUUCUU
rnacentral:lncRNA from 1 species